rnacentral:tRNA from 1 species
GCCUUCGUGGUGUAAUGGUCAGCACACUCGGCGCGUAUUCGAGAGGUCCAAGGUUCGAGUCCCCGUCGAGGGCA